CCAACAUGUCAGAAAAUUAAGUAUUUCCAGUUUGAGGCUGAAUGCAAAACAGGUCAUUAUCAAUGUGUCUGUACUCUCCUCCAUCACACUCUGUGACCAUUCAGAUGGAAGGUCUAUGUGCUUAGUAUAGGACAAGGGUCUCUGCCAUUGGCCUAGCAUAUGCCAUUCAGAAUAUCUUCCAUAUUAUCAUCUCAAUGCCCAGAUGGGACCUGUUGCCUGCAAACUCAUGUGAAUCAUCGCAACUGACUAAAUCUAUUGUGUUGCAUAUACCUCAAUGGCUGCAAAAAGAUCUUUGUGUUUGGGAGGAGAAACUGAUUUGCAUAAGCUUCAUUUUUAUUCAUGCAAUAGCUGUACUCUGCCAAUUAUGCUAUAAAUAAACUAAUGUGUAGGCAGGUAAUGUAUA